rnacentral:rRNA from 1 species
UACGUAGGGUGCGAGCGUUAAUCGGAAUUACUGGGCGUAAAGCGUGCGCAGGCGGUUUUGUAAGCCAGAUGUGAAAUCCCCGGGCUUAACCUGGGAAUGGCAUUUGGGACUGCAAGGCUCGAGUGCGGCAGAGGAGACUGGAAUUCCUGGCGUAGCAGUGAAAUGCGUAGAUAUCAGGAGGAACACCGAUGGCGAAGGCAGGUCUCUGGGCUGACACUGACGCUCAUGCACGAAAGCGUGGGAGCAACAGG